AACAGACGUGCGCCACGACUGCCGGUUGGCAAGCAUUUUAUUUAACGUAAAAAAAAAUCCACCACAUAGAAGAGGCUUCAGGGACACAGCCACGCGCGCCCCCGCCCACCGCGCGGCCCCGCCCACCGCACUUUUUCGUUGUGGCCGGGCGGGGGCGCGCGGGCUUCGUCAGCCGGCGCGUUCCCAGAGGCCCCCGUGCGCGCAUGCGCUACGCGCAGUGCCUGGAAGCCGGGGCGGCCGGUGUCCGGCUGUCGCCGUCGUGGGUCAGGUACGACGCGGGAGAGGGGGUUGCCCAAGUCCUCAGCUUAGGAGCCCUGGCGGACGCCGCGGGACCGGCCGCACCCGGCGGGGACCCCCACACACGGGUGCCCGCUGUGGAUCCCGAGUCGCGCAGACCGCGAGGGGAGAUAUCUGCCAGCCAGCUUCUGUGCAAGACAUCUGCUGCUGUGUUUCAGUAGUGUGAGCCUCUUCCAGGUCAAGAAGUUAUUUAAAACUAUGAGUGUCCCUUGUUUUUUGCUCGAACUUGAUCAAGCAGGUGUGUAAAGGGGGUGCUGAGAUCAAAAGUUUGACAACUCCUGUUCUAAUGCAAGUAGGAAGAGGAUUAACGAUGCACUUCUGAAUUCUGUAUGAUUCAUUUGUAAAAAUAGAAGUCCACCAUCCCAUAUGCAGCGUGGCCAGGUCACAUGGGAGGGGUAUCCGACCUGCUCCCUGUGUCCAAGGACCCUGUCAUUACGGAGCUGGAGUCGCUGAUGCCGCUUAUAGAAGUGCCUGGAGCUCAUCAAAUGGACCGGCUCGCGGGAGGUCCCAGGCCGACACUCCACUGGGUGUUCUGCGAUGAUUGAUAGCUUUGAACCUUGAGGUGGUGGAGACAGCGCGGCACAUGGGAGAAAGGUGAGGCUAUCAGGGUGCGCUUCCCAGCACCGUGUCCCUCCGAGUCUCUCGCUACUGGGGUUGUCCCCAGGGCAGGCGACACAGCAGCAAACUGAGGCGGACUCAGGGAAAGGAACAGCCCCUCUCCCAGCCUGAGUGAGCCCCCGAUCCACAGUCCAGGCCUGGCACCCGGCCAGAAGCGAGGCUUCUUUGCACCUGCCAUGCUCCGCACAUGGGCGCAGUGGCCGCCGAGAGAGAGUGUGCACUCGGACUCGGGGCUGUGGCUGCGCUGUACCUGUCAGACCUCGGGCGCCCCGUCACCGCCACAGCCAGUGCGUGCCUGGGUGUGCGCGCGCGCCUGCUCCAGACGCCGCCAUUCAGCCACCGUGGAGGGGAGUCCAUGCCACACACCUUCUCCGAAGCCACCCCUGCUUCAGACAAAAAAGCAUCGCCACGACCAGCUUGGUAUGGCAGGAUAAAGCUCUGUUUAACUGACAUUCUAGUCAACUUUGGAUGUGUUUUCCUUCCAAAUACACAGAGCAAAUACUCAAAUACGCACAAGUGACAAGUCCUGCUUCGCGUGAGCUCUGAGAUGAUGUGGGAUCUUUGUCCCUCGGAGCUGCGGUUUCCUCGUCUGUACCACGGAGCCUAAUGAGGACACGCAGAAGACACCCAGUGCAGUUCCUGACGCAUGGUCAUUGUGCGAUGGCAGCUGCUGACCUGGACACUGUGCAGCGGUUAACAGUGAUUCAGUGGCAGUUUCAAUAGCAUGACUACAUUUUCUAUACUGUAGCGUUUCAUGAAAAAAAGCAACGCAUUGAAAAUAAUUUUUGUAAAACAAUUGCACCUUGUUUUUAAAAGCCUAGGAAAAAAGCUUGGAAAAUAGAUAAAAUAUGUAAAUUUGCA
rnacentral:lncRNA from 1 species